rnacentral:rRNA from 1 species
UACACAUGCAGUCGAGCGGCAGCGGAAGUAGCUUGCUACUUUGCCGGCGAGCGGCGGACGGGUGAGUAAUGUCUGGGAAACUGCCUGAUGGAGGGGGAUAACUACUGGAAACGGUAGCUAAUACCGCAUAACGUCGCAAGACCAAAGAGGGGGACCUUCGGGCCUCUUGCCAUCAGAUGUGCCCAGAUGGGAUUAGCUAGUAGGUGGGGUAACGGCUCACCUAGGCGACGAUCCCUAGCUGGUCUGAGAGGAUGACCAGCCACACUGGAACUGAGACACGGUCCAGACUCCUACGGGAGGCAGCAGUGGGGAAUAUUGCACAAUGGGCGCAAGCCUGAUGCAGCCAUGCCGCGUGUAUGAAGAAGGCCUUCGGGUUGUAAAGUACUUUCAGCGGGGAGGAAGGCGCUGAGGUUAAUAACCUCGUCGAUUGACGUUACCCGCAGAAGAAGCACCGGCUAACUCCGUGCCAGCAGCCGCGGUAAUACGGAGGGUGCAAGCGUUAAUCGGAAUUACUGGGCGUAAAGCGCACGCAGGCGGUCUGUCAAGUCGGAUGUGAAAUCCCCGGGCUCAACCUGGGAACUGCAUUCGAAACUGGCAGGCUAGAGUCUUGUAGAGGGGGGUAGAAUUCCGGGUGUAGCGGUGAAAUGCGUAGAGAUCUGGGAGGAAUACCGGUGGCGAAGGCGGCCCCCUGGGACAAAGACUGACUCUCAGGUGCGAAAAGCGUGGGGGAGCAAACAGGAUUAGAUACCCCUGGGUAGUCCACCGCCC